UGGGCUUGGAUUCUGAUCUUCACAGAGGGAGGGGCGUUGAUGAGCACUCGACAGGUGUGAUUAGUGUUGGACGUUGUUGGGUUCUCAAAGUCACCGCUGGAGGAAAACAGCUGAAUGUCACAAUCUGUAGGGCAAAGACGAGGUGAAGACGAUCCCGUUCCCAGGAGUGAGCAGAUUUUGACGAACCAGCAGGACAUUGGUUCUCGUGUUCAAGGAGCUAGAUUCCACUCUAAUGUGAAUGACCUCAUCGAGGGGUCGACCUAUGGACACUGUGCAGCGGCUGGUUACGUCUUUCAAGUCCACCGUGCCUGAUUCCUCCAGGAGUAGCUGACCACAUGCACCUGGAAGAGAGCACACACUGUUAUGAUAAUCCUGCAUCUGUUUUCAGCUCUUACUGAGAAUGGGUAAGGAGUUUAAGUGUU